AGAGUUUGAUCCUGGCUCAGGAUGAACGCUGGCGGCGUGCUUAACACAUGCAAGUAGAACGGGAAAUAUUUCAUUGAGACUUCGGUGGAUUUGAUCUAUUUCUAGUGGCGGACGGGUGAGUAACGCGUGGGUAACCUGCCUUAUACAGGGGGAUAACAGUCAGAAAUGGCUGCUAAUACCGCAUAAGCGCACAGAGCUGCAUGGCUCAGUGUGAAAAACUCCGGUGGUAUAAGAUGGACCCGCGUUGGAUUAGCUGGUUGGUGGGGUAACGGCCCACCAAGGCGACGAUCCAUAGCCGGCCUGAGAGGGUGAACGGCCACAUUGGGACUGAGACACGGCCCAGACUCCUACGGGAGGCAGCAGUGGGGAAUAUUGCACAAUGGGGGAAACCCUGAUGCAGCGACGCCGCGUGAAGGAAGAAGUAUCUCGGUAUGUAAACUUCUAUCAGCAGGGAAGAUAGUGACGGUACCUGACUAAGAAGCCCCGGCUAACUACGUGCCAGCAGCCGCGGUAAUACGUAGGGGGCAAGCGUUAUCCGGAUUUACUGGGUGUAAAGGGAGCGUAGACGGUGUGGCAAGUCUGAUGUGAAAGGCAUGGGCUCAACCUGUGGACUGCAUUGGAAGCUGUCAUACUUGAGUGCCGGAGGGGUAAGCGGAAUUCCUAGUGUAGCGGUGAAAUGCGUAGAUAUUAGGAGGAACACCAGUGGCGAAGGCGGCUUACUGGACGGUAACUGACGUUGAGGCUCGAAAGCGUGGGGAGCAAACAGGACUAGAUACCCUGGUAGUCCACACCGUAAACGAUGAUUACUAGGUGUUGGAGGAUUGACCCCUUCAGUGCCGCAGUUAACACAAUAAGUAAUCCACCUGGGGAGUACGACCGCAAGGUUGAAACUCAAAGGAAUUGACGGGGGCCCGCACAAGCAGUGGAGUAUGUGGUUUAAUUCGACGCAACGCGAAGAACCUUACCAAGUCUUGACAUCCCUUGACGAACAUAGAAAUAUGUUUUCUCUUCGGAGCAAGGAGACAGGUGGUGCAUGGUUGUCGUCAGCUCGUGUCGUGAGAUGUUGGGUUAAGUCCCGCAACGAGCGCAACCCUUAUGGUCAGUUACUACGCAAGAGGACUCUGGCCAGACUGCCGUUGACAAAACGGAGGAAGGUGGGGAUGACGUCAAAUCAUCAUGCCCUUUAUGACUUGGGCUACACACGUACUACAAUGGCGUUAAACAAAGAGAAGCAAGACCGCGAGGUGGAGCAAAACUCAGAAACAACGUCCCAGUUCGGACUGCAGGCUGCAACUCGCCUGCACGAAGUCGGAAUUGCUAGUAAUCGCAGAUCAGCAUGCUGCGGUGAAUACGUUCCCGGGCCUUGUACACACCGCCCGUCACACCAUGAGAGCCGGGGGGACCCGAAGUCGGUAGUCUAACCGCAAGGAGGACGCCGCCGAAGGUAAAACUGGUGAUUGGGGUGAAGUCGUAACAAGGUA
rnacentral:rRNA from 1 species